rnacentral:tRNA from 1 species
GACCACGUAGCUCAGUUGGCAGAACAUUGGGCUAGUAUCUCAAAGGUCGCGGGUUCGAAUCCCACCGUGGCCA